GGUGACCUCGUGAACUCCCGGCUCAUCAGCUCCAAAAAGCGUGCCAAAAAGAGUAGGUCGUGGCAGGAUAGUUAAAAUAGGUCGCCGUUUCAAAAUGGGACGUACGCCACCGCUGAUGCCAUAAAAGCACAAAAAAGUAGUAAGUUCCGAACUGACUGAAGUCGGAAAAACUCAUGGAGGAAGGAAACACAUGUUUUUCCUUCCUCCAUGGAAAAACUGCAUUACAGUCGUCCAGUUCCAGAAAUGAAAAAUAUCAAAAAGCCAAGUUAAGCCAUCCAUACGGCCAAUCCAGUGGUCAGUGCCACAGCUCAAGCCACUGGCGCAAAUUGGCGCAAGCCGAGAAGUGAGAAGCCACGCAACAUAUGCACGGAACCACUUGGCAUUACGUACCGUUCCCACUCGAAAAGUGGAAAAUCUAGCGAUCGCGCAAAAAUAGAAGGUCCACUAGACGAACACCUGGACAUCUCUGUUCGAAAUCUCGGCGGCUGCGGACCCCCGACCUGGCGGGGCUUCUUCUUCAAUCUACUACUAUACGUGAAAUAGUAGUUUGCUAUGCGCAAGCACCGUCGUCUGCAACGCGCCGUUAUCGUGCCGUACGCAAAGCAAGUUUUGUGCUCCUGCAACUACAUCAGUUCCCCUAUUUUCAUCCGAAAAUCAAAUUAGGUAAAAAUUUUCAGUGAAAGUUCAUUGCAGCAGCCAUGGAAAACCCGCUGCAGCUACUAGACACUCGACAUAACACCAGGAACCAAAAGCACACAGCGCAGAAACUGAACAACACACGAGCGCCAUACUCCACCUCCGGUGUAACUAGAAACUGUUUGGCAGAAUGUUUGCGCGUGCCAGGUGGCAGGUUUGCGCAGCUUCGAAACCCGUUGUGAAAGUGUGUAUGUCUUGUUUCACCCAAUCAAUUGUCCACACCUGCUGCUGUGCAUGUAGCGCAAGCUUCUGGCCCCCGUGGUGCUAAGGCGAUCACUGUUCAUUGACGUCUUAAUUCGACAGUUAUAUGGGUUUCUCCUGCAAGACCCGCUGGGAGCUGGUUUUGUAGGCGGUCACAAUCCUUGAUAAGCCACCACAGGCUUCAUCCCCAGGAAACCACAUGCAUGGCCCACGUCAACACAUACUAGACAUCAUGCAUAUGCCCUUCUCCAAAUACGGGAGCUGACGGAAAUGCAGAAGUUCCAAGAAAUGUAACCAUCGCAAACCUUUGUCUACGUUUUGUAAUUCCCAUGGUCACAUACACUUUGCUUUCCAGGCCUGAAAUGGAUAAAUAAUCUGCUGGUGGUAGUGAUGGUUGAGUACUGAGAGCGGUAGCAGUAGGUUGCAGCAGGUUUCUGAGGAAAUCUGUUACUGAGAUUAGUGCUUGGUUGACUUUACAAGGGAGCUUACUGGCAUGUGUCUAUGAACACCUCUCUGAAGGAAAUCUGCAGGUACCACAGCUGUCGCUGGACUUGAUUCGCCUACACAUAUUCACCGUGAAUCCUUUGCUGCAUGUGACACACACCAACUGAGCAGAAUAUCUUCAUGUUUGUUCCUACAGACCUGUCUAUCCUUUGAUCUUGUAACAAUCUGGUUAAAUGGAGGUGGGUAGCUUUACGUCUUACUGAAGUCACAUGCCCAUGGUGAUGCCUUCAUGUGUGCCAUAGUUCAUCAUUCAUCAUCAUAGUUCUGUCCAUCAUUCGCAUAUCGUCUGUGCAAGUAAUUAUCUCAAGUGGAGUGCUUUCAUAGAGUUUUUUUUUUAUUUGCAGGGAACACAUACUGCCUGGCAUUUCAGUGCAACACAACAGAAUUGAGUUACGGAUGAGCUUGCAAAUGUGCAUGAAGGCUCACAGCAGCUGCCUCAUAGUUUACCUUGGGGUAAUGCUGGUGCUCGUAUCAUGCAAGGACGUCCGUUUUUCCUGGUGCUCACCUGUGCUUUUCCUGUGGAAAGUUUUACCCGCAAAGGAAGCAUUUGAAGUGUUAAUUUCAUUUUAACGAUGGCUCAGCUUACUGGAUAUUGGUGUAUUGUUGUCUCUUAUAUGGUGCUGUAGAAGACAUUUAUGUUGGACAGACACAUGAUGAAAUGUUUGCCCAAUGAUCCUUCAGCAACUAACUAUACAUAUUAUUUAUAUUCUGUACAUUUCCCAUGGUCUAUGGAAAAGUAACACAUUUCAAGUAUUCUUCAGGUGCACAAUAUUUUCAUCCUUCAGAAUUGCAUGGAUACGCAUACAAAGUAGACAGUACAACAAAAGUUUUCUCAUUCUCAUCCUAUGAGAGCCACAGAAUAUUCCUCAAUUCAAAUUUUCAAAUUCUCCAAUUCCCCAUCAGCGUCUUUCCUGUGUGCUCGGCAUUUUGGGUUCCUCCUCCUUCUUACCUUGAAAGUGUUUGUACUUCCCACGAGGUGAAAUUCCUGGGAAUAUCCUUGGCCACUGGGACUAGCUGUUGCACGCAAAGUGAUACGUUACUCAUUCACAUGCAGUAAUAACACAAGAGGAGCAUUUUCUACGUACCACUGUGCACCCUCUACAGAACACUACCUUGUCAAGUGGCUAUAGGAGGACUCACCACAGUGCCAUAUGGACCACCAAACGCCCAUUCGAGUGCUGCUUGUGCCCAGCUUCCUUUACUCGUAAAGAUAACCUCAAGGUACACAUGAGGAGCCAUGCCGGUGAACGUCCCUUUCCCUGCGCCCUCUGCUGCAAGGCAUUCACUCGCAAGCACACGCUCAACGUACACAUGAAGCGGCACAGGAAGUUUCGGGCGGCAGAAGUCCCCACAUUUGCGGCAAAUAUCUAAACUUAUGUUGCGUGACUCUGUUAUUGAACAGUGACUGAAGUUGGUGACGGUGAGAAAGCACUAAGUGCUCUGCAAAGUUUGUAAGUAGAAUAUCUUCUUGAAGCACUUGCUUAAAGUACAAUAAAAUAGUCUUUGUCGUAUA